UAGGUCAAGGAUUUGACGGGAAAACUUCAAGAAAUGACAAAUUUUUGUAUUGAAAUUGACACCGACUCCUUGCUAAAAAAUGAGUUGGCAACUCUAGAUGAGACUUUGAGAACUGCCAAUAAUGUUGUUAUACUUGCCAUAAAUGCCAUAUCAGUUGUCAUAAGUGAGAUGCAAAGAAAACUCAUUGAUGCAGUUCGUGAUAAUAU